CAUGAAGAGACAGUCUUUUUCCCUUCCCCUUGCCUGAGGGGAUCUUGACAUAUUUUGCUAAUAGAAUGUGGCCAAAGGAAUGCUGUGUAAUAUUCUUAGAACCGUGAGAGAAGCUCAAUCACCAUAGAGGGGUUUUCCAGUCAGCAGGCCUGGUUGAUCUUUCAGCAAAAUUUAUCUUUCUUAACUUCAUAAAUAGCAAGUGAAGAUUUGGGGUAACCUUUGUGCCAUGUGGAAAAACCCUAUUGGAGUCACUUCUACCCUUUGACUCGAAAUAAAAGUCGUGGCAUUUGAUCACAGGUACCCACCUUUCAAACCUGAUUGGUCCAUUUUCCAAACCACAUGUUUCCAAGACUUGAUUGGUGCUGGGCACAAACUUGGACCUAGUUGGUGCAAGUAGAAGCUUGGACCUGUUCCAUUUUCAAAACCAGGUUUUUCUGAAGGUCACACUGAAG